UACGUAGGGGGCAAGCGUUGUCCGGAAUCAUUGGGCGUAAAGCGCGUGUAGGCGGCUCGAUAAGUCUGCUGUGAAAGUCCAGGGCUCAACCCUGGGAUGCCGGUGGAUACUGUCGAGCUCGAGUCCGGAAGAGGUGAGUGGAAUUCCCAGUGUAGAGGUGAAAUUCGUAGAUAUUGGGAAGAACACCGAUGGCGAAGGCAGCCCCCUGGGUCAAGAUUGACGCUCAUGCACGAAAGCGUGGGGAGCAAACGAGGAUUAGAAACCCGUUGUGAGAUCCG
rnacentral:rRNA from 1 species